rnacentral:rRNA from 1 species
UACGUAGGGUGCAAGCGUUGUCCGGAAUUAUUGGGCGUAAAGAGCUCGUAGGCGGUUUGUCGCGUCGGCUGUGAAAACCUGGGGCUCAACCCCGGGCCUGCAGCCGAUACGGGCAAACUAGAAUUCGGUAGGGGAGACUGGAAUUCCUGGUGUAGCGGUGAAAUGCGCAGAUAUCGAGAGGAACACCAGUGGCGAAGGCGAGUCCCUGGACAACACCUGACACUGAGGCACGAAAGCUAGGGGAGCAAACAGG